GACGAACGCUGGCGGCGUGCUUAACACAUGCAAGUCGAACGGAAAGGCCCUGCUUUUGCGGGGUGCUCGAGUGGCGAACGGGUGAGUAUCACGCGAGUAACCUGCCCUUGACUUUGGGAUAACUUCAGGAAACUGGGGCUCAUACCGGAUAGGAGCUCCUGCUGCAUGGUGGGGGUUGGAAAGUUUCGGCGGUUGGGGAUGGACUAGCGGCUUAUCCGCUUGUUGGUGGGGUAGUGGCUUACCAAGGGUUUGACGGGUAGCCGGCCUGAGAGGGUGACCGGCCACAUUGGGACUGAGGUACGGCGCAGAAUCCUACGGGAGGCAGCAGUGGAGAGUAUUGCACAAUGGGCGGAAGCCUGAUGCAGCAACGCCGCGUGCGGGAUGACGGCCUUCGGGUUGUAAACCGCUUUCGCCUGUGACGAAGCGUGAGUGACGGUAAUGGGUAAAGAAGCACCGGCUAACUACGUG
rnacentral:rRNA from 1 species